UACGGAGGGGGCUAGCGUUGUUCGGAAUUACUGGGCGUAAAGCGUGCGCAGGCGGUUCUAUAAGACAGAUGUGAAAUCCCCGGGCUCAACCUGGGAACUGCAUUUGUGACUGUAGAGCUGGAGUACGGCAGAGGGGGAUGGAAUUCCGCGUGUAGCAGUGAAAUGCGUAGAUAUGCGGAGGAACACCGAUGGCGAAGGCAAUCCCCUGGGCCUGUACUGACGCUCAUGCACGAAAGCGUGGGGAGCAAACAGG
rnacentral:rRNA from 1 species